GCUCCUUUGAGUCCUUCACCAUUGACUUGCUCCCUCUACACCAUCAGCCUACUUCUUCCUUCAUCAUCGUUGUUCUGCAACUAAAAGUGGCGAGGCUUGGUUUAUUUUCUCCUCUCCUUCCUUGUUUUGGCUGUCGCACAAGUUCAGCGGUGUGUGUGAGAAGUUGAGUCAUUGAAGAUGAGAAAUCCUUGCCUUUCCUCUAUCCUUCGCUUUUCCUUCUCUAUUCAUGCUUCUACUGCAGUUGCUGCAGUUUUGGUGGUUGUGGGAUGCGUCAAUUUCUUUCUCUCCACUUUUUCCCUCAAUCUAGCUUUGCUCAUUUCUCUUUUGGGUUUUUGUUUGUUCACAUGGCAAUAUAUUGUUGGCUUGCAAAAUUUUCUUUCUUCUCCCUUGUUUAUGUCGCUUAUCGGUGUAGGAAGGAAUUUCAUUUUUCUCAUUCUUCCUCUAUUAAGUUUAGUGUUGAUUACUUUUGUGUUGUGUGUUGAAAUUACAAGUUGAUUAUUUCUUUUUUUUUAGUUUCUGUGCGUGAGGUAUGGGAGAAAUUAAUAAGAUUAAGCAAGCUGAAAUUUAAACAUGGAGAACAUGUUAAAUGGAUAAUUUCACUAAAUUUGUUACAAUUACUUAAGGAAGACGAGAGUGGGUUGAAUUUUAAUCGAGCAUAAAUUGAUUCUUGAAAGGGAAUUUGAUUGGGAAAGCAUGAUGAAUUUAAGUAUGAAUAUUUGGGGACUUGUUGGGCAAAGGGUUGAAGGUUAAAAAAGUUUAAUUGAAUGAAUUGGAAAUUAAUGCACACCAGUUAUUUGUUAAAAGGUCUAAUAGAGAAUCAAAUCUCACUUAAAUUAUUAGUUGUGGCUAAGCAUCAUAGAGAAACUAUGAUAGAAAUUAUGAUGUUGGGGAAAUUUUGAAUUAUUUAAAUUAAUAUUGGUGGUGUUAAUGCUGGAAGGGAGUCUAUUAAAUUUGUAGAAAGCCUUUUAAAACCUCAUUAUUAUAUCUUAUAGGAUAUUUGGAAGAACAUAAAUUUGAAGGAUUAUAUCUUUGGAUUUGAAGUAACGUUAGCCUUUAGCACGCCAUGGUACACUCAGUUAGCAGGGUGCAUUAGAGGUGCUAGCCCCGUGUGCCAGCCAACACAUGUGAAGUGGAGGAUGUAGUUUCAUGGACAUAAUCCAUGCCUGUUAUUCGUGAGCUUUAUACUUGCACCUAUUUUCCUGCUUCUUACCAUGCAGGAUAUGUUAUUUAUCCUCGUGGACUGUGUGUUCACGCUUGUUAAUUGUUCUGAUUUAGUCCUGCUAAAGAAAGAGUUUUGAUGCUUAUUUUCUUUAUGUUUGAUUUUGAAAAGUAAACGAUUAUUAUUUUUUUACGGUAUAUGGAUUUUGUAUUGAGAAACAUAAGUCCCAAGGUGUUUAGGCAUAUGAGGAAAUGAAAGGUGGAACUUGAAUUUCUAAUAAUUUUAAUUUAAUUCUUAUCUUCAUACUUUACGCAUUUACAUAGUUGUUAGUCUUGAUGUUUAUGAAGAUGCAUUUAUAUUAUAACAACUAAUUAUUUUAAUAAGUUUAUAAUUAACUUAUUGAUUUUACUUUCUAUUAUUUAUUUCAACUAUAAAUUGGGACAUUAUUCACUGAAAAUACUUUUGGUCCUAGAUUACAGAGUUAGUGAUGUACCUUCUACUGACCUCUAAUAGGGCUCAUUGCUGAAUUAAUUAAAAGAUCCUUUGAGGACAUCUUUUUUUUUAUGUAAAUGUUUAGUUAUAUGUUAUAUUUUGAAAUUCAUGAUUAGGUGCUCUAUGUUAACUGUAGAUAGAAUCCUGACCUGUGAUAUAUUUAUCUAUUUGUUGUGGAGGAGUAGAGCUCCGCAUUCUUGACUUGGACUGUAUAUUACUGUUGUAAAGAUUUCAAGAGAUCAUAUUUGUUAGGGAGGUUUUUCCGAAAUUUUUACAAAAAAGUUUAGAAAUCUUGUGUGCAUAUGAAAAUAUUAUAAUGACUUUGUAUCCUAUUUCAAAUGGAUUAAAAUAUUAUAUUGAAGUUUCCUUGAUUAAGGCUUAAGGGAUAUAUGUUUGUGCAUAUAUCCUGUGCCGAACAUGUCCAAUUUUGAGGCGUGAUAGUUUCCAUGAUUCAGAUCUUCCCCCAAACAUACACAUAGAGUAAAUUGCAUUCACCUCGUAAUGAGACUACUUGUAAAUUGCUAUUUGCCAUAGAAACAUGUAUAAAUUGUUCUUGUUUCUUCAAUUGUGCUUGAAAAGCUAGUGCACAUUGCUUCAAGGAACUAGGCCUUAAGAGAUAAACAAGAACAUGCCUUGGCAUUGACUCAAUUCUGAAAUUUGGAAUUGCUAAACCAAGCUAAAGGAAUCAAAAGAUUAAUGCUAGGAUUUUCUUUAGUCAAGUCUGAGCAGAAGUAAAGCAAAUUAUGUGGGAUGGCGAUUUUGCACUUUAAAGGAAGAAAGAAAUAAAAAUUAAGGGAUAAUAAGUAAUGUCAUGAACAGAUUGAAGGGGGAGCUAGAGCAUUGAUCUUUGAAUUUCUUUACAAGCAACCUGAAAUUUCCUUUUUUUUUGGUAUCUUUAGAUUUAUUGUCAAACAACUAAGUACUAACCCAUUCUGUUUCUCCAUUCAAACAUGCAUAUAAAAUUGUGCAUUUAGCUUGUAAUGGAAUAUCUACUUUGCCACAACACUAGUGUUAAUAGUUGUAGUUAAACCUUCAUCUGGUAUUUUGUUGAUUCCUUUCCUUUAGCUUUUGACAGAAGGGUUUGUGUCAGUUUCCAUUAUUUUCAUCUUCCCUUGAUGAGCUGGACUUGAAAAACUUAAGAUUGUAAAAUCUAGAGUUUGCUUCACAAAUAUAUUCUAUAUCAUGUGUGCUGACAACACCUUUCUAUUUGGACUAGGGGAGAAUCUAGUAGUUAAAUUCACUUGAUAUUACUUUCAUUGCUAGAGGAUAAAGGAGAAAUUAUAUAUUUUAAUUUUCUAAUAAUGGAUAUUUGUUCCUUAGGAUUAAUGAAAUUGGCUUUUGAUUUUUAAUCAUGUAAUCAUUUUUUUUAUUAACCAAAUGGCUUGUACGUUCACUUAGUUCAUGUUCCUGAUUUUUGCUAAUUUAUUUUCUUGGUUGUUCAAUGAAAUUGUUAGGUUUGUUAUGGAUGAGCCCUUGAUACUAAAGUUUCAAGUUUCAAAAGAAAAGGAGUUGAGUUUACUCCGUUAGACAUAUCUCUCAGGGAGACGAUCAAAAGCUUGAAAGACAAGAAGUUUCUUGAUUUUUAAUCAUGAUAUCUCCUGCAAAUAUUGAUAAUCGUGACCAUGUUUUCAUCCACACCUUUGGUUUUGAAGGCUUGGCAUCCUUUGUAAAACAUGGUUGAAAGGACAUAAUUGUGAUACGAGGAUUGUAAUAAAUAAUGAUAAUUAAUUUUAAUUUUACAUUUCAUAA